rnacentral:rRNA from 1 species
GCAUAAUCACUUGUUUCCUAAAUAGAGACUAGUAUCAACGGCAUCACGAGGGUUAAACUGUCUCCCACCCCCCAUCAGUGAAACUGAUCUCCCCGUGAAGAAGCGGGGAUACAGUUAUAAGACGAGAAGACCCUAUGGAGCUUCAGGCAAUGCAGGCACCAUUACAAAACAAAACCACACAUAUACUAAAUCUGCCUGCCAGCCUUAGGUUGGGGCGACCGCGGAGUAAAAUAAAACCUCCACAACAAACAGGACUACACCUUAAUCCAAGAGCCACCACUCCAAGAAUAGAUAAAUCAAUGUAAUAUGACCCGAUAAUCGAUCAAUGAACCAAGUUACCCUAGGGAUAACAGCGCAAUCCAUUUCUAGAGCCCAUAUCAACAAAUGGGUUUACGACCUCGAUGUUGGAUCAGGGUAUCCCAGUGGUGCAGCCGCUACUAAAGGUUCGUUUGUUCAACGAUUAAAACCCUACGUGAUCUGAGUU